GCGCGAAAACUUUACAAUGCUGGCAACAGCGAUAAGGGAACCUCGAGUGCCAGGUUACAAAUCUGGCUGUCGAGAUGCCUAAAAAGCAUUUCAUAGCAAGGGCCGGGCAAGACCGGUGCCAGCCGCCGCGGUAACACCGGCGGCUCGAGUGGUAACCGUUAUUAUUGGGUCUAAAGGGUCUGUAGCCGGCCGGAUAAGUCUCUUGAGAAAGCUGGCAGCUUAACUGUCAGGCUUUCAGGAGAUACUGUCUGGCUCGAGGCCGGGAGAGGUGAGAGGUACUUCAGUGGUAGGGGUGAAAUCUUGUAAUCCUUGAUGGACCACCGGUGGCGAAGGCGUCUCACCAGAACGGACCUGACGGCAAGGGACGAAAGCUAGGGGCACGAACC
rnacentral:rRNA from 1 species